rnacentral:lncRNA from 1 species
GUGUUUCCUGUAGAGCAGAUAGCAGUAAUGAUAAGGUGUUUCCUGUAGAGCAGACGGCAGUAAUGAUGAGGUGUUUCCUGUAGAGCAGACGGCAGUAAUGAUGAGGUGUUUCCUGUAGAGCAGACGGCAGUAAUGAUGAGGUGUUUCCUGUAGAGCAGAUGGCUGUAAUGAUGAGGUGUUUCCUGUAGAGCAGACGGCAGUAAUGAUGAGGUGUUUCCUGUAGAGCAGAUAGCUGUGGUUUAGCUGCUUUCACCUACUUGAUGAUUAACCCCAAUCCUCUUCUGUCUGUUCUGUGCAUCCACAGGGCAGUGGGAUGUAUCUAUCCCCAGUCUCUACUGAUGUAUCUAUCCCCAGUCUCUACUGAUGUAUCUAUCCCCAGUCUCUACUGAUGUAUCUAUCCCCAGUCUCUACUGAUGUAUCUAACCCCAGUCUCUACUGAUGUAUCUAUCCCCAGUCUCUACUGAUGUAUCUAUCCCCAGUCUCUACUGAUGUAUCUAUCCCCAGUCUCUACUGAUGUAUCUAACCCCAGUCUCUACUGAUGUAUCUAACCCCAGUCUCUACUGAUGUAUCUAACCCCAGUCUCUACUGAUGUAUCUAUCCCCAGUCUCUACUGAUGUAUC